UACGUAGGGUGCGAGCGUUGUCCGGAAUUAUUGGGCGUAAAGAGCUCGUAGGCGGUGUGUCGCGUCGGCCGUGAAAACCUGGGGCUUAACUCUGGGCGUGCGGUCGAUACGGGCAUCACUGGAGUUCGGCAGGGGAGACUGGAAUUCCUGGUGGAGCGGUGAAAUGCGUAGAUAUCACUUGGAACGCCAAUGGUGAAGACAGCUCGCUGGGGGUGUCCUGACGCUGAGGCGCGAAAGCCAGGGGAGCGAACGGG
rnacentral:rRNA from 1 species